CUAAUGUAACUUAGUCAAAAUCUCAGAUUACUAAACCAGAAACCAAUUCACCGGCAGUUUAAACGCAUUAUGCUGUAACGGACCUAACUCAGUGUACACAAGUCCGAAUCAGGUUUUCUUUGAGGCAUUUUAAAGCUACUUCAGAACACUACAACUUUUAUGUUUUGGCCCAGAGCUAAAUCAGAAUGGAUCCUGGUCAAAAAUCGUGAUAAACUGGACUGAACUGAAGAAACGGACUGCUGGGAAAUUCUUAAAACAGUAGGGGUAUUUUGGACUUUUCACGUCCUACGUUGCUCCGAUUGAGCUGAAAUUUUACAGGCACUUAUAAAACACCAUUCUAUACAACUUUCCUUCUUUUACCAAAGGCCAAUUCGGCCUCUAACAUAUAGGUACAAUUUCGGACAGAAUGCUUGGGAAAUUUUCCAGAAAUCUGGAAUUUUUAGCUCUAAGUGUAAUUUCCUCAAAUUUCUGGUUCUAAUCACCACUAAACAACCUUAUAUAACUUUAAUUGCAACAUUCAUGCAUCAUACUUCAACUUGAGCAGAAAUUCAGAAACCCUAGUUCAUCAAAUAAAUUGGGGAAAAACUCCUACACAUGCUAGCAUCCAUGAAUCUACCACCAAUCAAGCUACCAAGCUUACUUUAACCAUGAUUGAAAGAGAAAGUUAGAGAGAUAUCAUCCUCUUACCUUGAUUAGAAGUCCCUAAGAGCAGCCCCAAGCUUUCUCUUCCCAAAUUUCCACCACCAAUCACUAGAUAAUCACUCAAGAGUAGGUUUAAUCGGUUUACUUUGUGGAUUUUCUCACUAAGUUGUUGGAUUUGAAGGUGAAAUGAAGAAAUCUUCCUUGGUGUUUUCUCCAAGCUAAGUUCGGCCAGCACCAGCAGAAAUGAGGAAGAAUUGGCUAAGUGUUAAGGUUAUAUGGAUGGAGUUUGUCUUGGUAAGAAGCCAUGAGGUGGUGACAAGUGUCACCACCACCACCCUUUCUUUUUUUCUCUUUCUUUCUUGCCUUUCUUAGCCACCAAUUUUCGGUCAACAUGCUGCCAAGAGAGAAGAUAUUAUGUGCAAAAGUCAACAACUUGUUGGGUAAAAAAAAAAAUGGUGGUCAAGCGGUGCGUUCAAUCGGUAAUGCGCGGGACCCGCCGGUUCGCGCCGUUUUUCUUAAAAACUCACGUACUAGGGUUUUUACCUCCCAUUCACUAACCUUAUAUCAUUGCUACUACUCACAUAUUAUUUCUCACUUAAGAGUCACUUUUAAUCAUCAAAUUGAUCCUUGGCCAGUACCGAAAAUUCAUCCGGCGGAAAAUCGCAAAAACCCUAAUUUUGCUCAAAACUUGAAACCAAAGCGUAAAACCUUAUUUUCUAGGUUUAUUUACACUUAGUGUGAUAUAAUGAGGUAGGGGUCUUAAUAAAUAAUAAUUUUCGAAUAAAAGGCAUUUUUGAGGGAAAAUGUAGGAAAUUUGCGGGUCCUCACAUCCUCUCCCCCUUAAAAGAAUUUCGACCUCGAAAUUCAUACCUUUUGUCGCGAACAGGCCAGGAUACUUUUCUUGCAUAUCCGUUUCUAGCUCCCAAGUUGCUUCUUCCACUUCAUGAUGCUUCCAUAGUACCUUUACUAAAGGAAUCUGCUUGUUUCUCAAGUCCUUCACCUUUCGAUCCAGUAUUUGAAUAGGUCGUUCUUCAUAGGUUAAAGACUCGUCAAGUUCAACAUCUUCGGGUGGCAAAAUGUGAGUCGGAUCCGGAUGGUAUUUCUUAAGCAAAGAGACGUGGAAGACAUCGUGGAUCCUAGACAAGUUAGCUGGUAACUCAAGUCGAUAAGCCACCUUUCCUAUUCGCUGAAGCACCUUGAAAGGUCCUAUAUAUCGUGGUUGCAACUUUUUCCCUUUUCCGGAUCUAAUCUUUCCCUUCAAUGGUGUGAUCCAAAGAAACACCUUAUCUCCUAUUUCAAACUCCAAGUCUUUCCUCCUAUGAUCGGCAUAGCUCUUCUGACGGCUUUGGGCGGUUUGAAGUCUCUGGCGAAUCACUUUCACCUUUUCAUAGGCUUCCUCAACCCAUGGUAUAGUAGCCGGAUCUAUGACUUUCUCUCCCCUACUUCAUCCCAAUGAAUUGGAGAUCGACACCGUCGUCCAUACAAAGCUUCAUAUGGAGCCAUUUGAAUAGAGGAAUGGUAACUAUUGUUAUACGCGAAUUCAACCAAAGUCAAGUAUUGGCUCCAACUUCCUUUAAAAUCCACAAUACAGGCUCUCAACAUAUCCUCAAGGGUUUGAAUAGUUCUCUCAGAUUGUCCAUCAGUUUGCGGGUGAUACGCUGUGCUAUAACUCAGCUUAGUUCCUAGAGCCUCUUGUAAUUUCUGCCAGAAUCGGGAUACAAACCUAGGGUCUCUAUCAGAUACAAUGCUUACUGGUACCCCAUGUAGUCUCACUACCUCAUCCAUAUAAAUUUUAGCAAGUUUCUCCAAAGGAUAUUUCAUAUUUAUUGGCAAGAAAUGUGCAGUCUUAGUCAAUCGAUCCACUAUUACCCAAAUGGCAUCAUGCCCCUUUUGUGUUCGUGGCAAUCCUGACACAAAAUCCAUCGUUAUGUGCUCCCACUUCCACUCAGGGAUCUCUAAAGGCUGUAACAAACCUGACGGCUUUUGAUGCUCAGCUUUUACCUGUUGGCACGUAAGACAUUUUUGCACAAACUGGGCAAUCUCCGCCUUCAUUUUCUCCCACCAAUACAGAUUCCUAAGAUCUUGGUACAUUUUAUUAUUCCCUGGGUGCACCGUAUACCUAGAGCAAUGUGAUUCCUCUAAAAUCUCCCUUUUCAAUUCCUCAUCCCUAGGUACCACGACACGAUUUCGAAACUUUAAAAUUCCAUCAGGGCUUAGAUUGAAAUUAGGUAACUCCCCUCUCUUCACUCUCUCUACCCACUUCUGCACUAUUGGAUCCUUCACUUGGCCCUCUUUGAUUCGUUCCAUCAAUGCCGAUUUCGCCUCAAUAUUUCCAAAAAUCACCUUUUCCGGUUCCAAACGAGGUUUCCACUCACAUACAUCUUCCAAUAGGCUCCACUCUCUCACUAUAGAACUUGCCAAUUGAGCCUUCCGGCUUAAAGCAUCUGCUACAACGUUGGCCUUUCCAGGAUGAUAGUUAAUUGUACAAUCAUAAUCCUCUAAGAACUCUACCCACCGACGUUGUCUUAGAUUUAACUCCUUCUGAGAAAACAGAUACUUAAGGCUCUUAUGAUCCGUAUAAACCUCGAAAGUUACACCAUAGAGAUAAUGUCGCCAUUUCUUCAAAGCGAACACUACAGCUGCAAGUUCCAAGUCAUGGGUCGGGUAAUUUUGCUCAUGAGUUUUUAACUUUCGGGAUGCGUAGGCAAUCACAUUCCUAUUCUGCAUCAACACGCACCCUAGCCCUUCUUUUGAAGCAUCGGUAUAAACCGUAUAACUAUCCUUUCCACUGGGCAAAGCUAAAAUUGGAGCCAUAGUCAAUUGUUUCUUAAGCUCUUGAAAGCUACUUUCACACUUAACAUCCCAAAUAUAUUUUCCUUGUUUCUUGGUCAGGUUAGUCAAGGGUCCUGCAAUUCUCGAGAAAUUCUUUAUAAAUCUGCGGUAGUAUCCUGCUAAACCUAGAAAACUUCGCACCUCGGUGGGAUUUUCUGGCCGCUUCCACUUAGCCACAGCUUCCACUUUCGCCGGGUCUACAGCAAGGCCAUCUUUUGAAAUUAUAUGACCUAAAAAUGCCACCUCUUCCAACCAAAAUUCACACUUACUGAACUUAGCAAAUAGUUGGCGCUCUCUUAGGGUUUGCAAUACUAUCCGCAAAUGUUGUUCAUGCUCCUCCCUUGACCUCGAAUACACCAAGAUGUCAUCAAUGAACACCACUACAAACCUAUCCAAGUAAGGUUUGAACACUCGAUGCAUCAGAUCCAUGAAUGCUGCUGGGGCAUUGGUUAAACCAAAAAGCAUCACUGCGAACUCAAAAUGCCCAUAUCGAGUAUUAAAUGCUGUUUUUGGCACAUCCUCCUUCCUAACUCUCAAUUGAUAAUACCCUUGUCGCAGGUCCAACUUGGAAAACACUACAGCCCCUUGUAACUGAUCAAAUAACUCAUCUAUGUGGGGCAAAGGAUAUUUAUUCUUAAUCGUUACGGCAUUCAGCCCUCGAUAGUCAAUACACAACCUCAAACUUCCGUCUUUCUUUUUAACAAAUAACACUGGAGCUCCCCACGGCGACUCGCUCUCAUGUAUGAACCCCCGUUCUAGCAAGUCCUGUAAUUGCACCUUUAAUUCCUUAAGCUCAGCAGGUGCCAUACGAUAAGGAGUUUUAGAAAUGGGAGUGGUUCCGGGUACUAAAUCAACCUUAAAUUCAAUCUCCCUUUCGGGUGGCAAAGACCCCAAUUCUUCCGGAAAUACGUCCGGGUAUUCACUGAUUACUGGCAUGUCUUCCAACUUAGUCUUUUCACCCGGAGUGUUAAUUAGGAAAGCUAGGUAACCACGAGCCCCACGACUAAGCAACUUCCUAGCCCUUAUACCCGAAAUAAGUGCAGAAGAGGCUAUCAUACCCCUCACAUCAAGCUUUAGGGUUGCCUCUCCUGGUAUACCAAAUUCGACCACUUUCAUCUUACAAUCUACCCGAGCAUGAUAGUGAGCUAGCCAAUCCAUACCUAGGAUAACAUCAUACCCCUUAAUGGCUAGACUAAUAAGGUCCACUACCAAUUUCCGUUCGCCAAUCCAAAUAUCACAAUUCCUAUACACCUCAUUCGCAAGCAAAAUUUGAUUACCUGUAGGUGUUCUUACCUCUAAGUCAUAAGGUAACCUUUCAACUUUCGAGUCAAUUCCAAGCAUAAAUGCAGGAUUAACAAAAGAGUGAGUAGCACCGGGGUCUAUUAAAAUUCUAGCUAACCGGUGAAAAACAGGGAUUGUACCUUCUACCACCCUGGUUGGUUCAGGCACAGUUGUUUGAUCUAGCGAGUACACUCUGGCCGGUACCCUCGACCUGGCCCCUCCAGCAGUAGUCGGCUUUGGGUUUGACCUGGCAGUCGACUGAGUGUCAUUGAUUAGCGGACAAUUGAUCAUCUGAUGAUCCGCACUUCCGCACCUCAAACACUUCCGAGCCUUUCUCCAGCACUCGUCCUCAGUGUGGUUCGAUUUUCCACAAUACCCACAUGUCACUCGAGGAGUGGAGGUUUGACCUCCCUGAGUAAAACCUCUACCUUGACCUCUACUGCCUUGGCCUCCCCUCUGGGCAUUCCCUCUCGGAGCACUACCCCUAAACGUGUUCGAAAAUCGUCCACCUCCAGCUCCACGACCGGAUUUAGCAGGUGGCAUGCUCCGCUCGCCUCGUACCGACCCUUGGGCUCCACUAGGUGCCCCUUUCCGCUUAGCGUGGAAAUUUCUCACUUGCGUCCUAGCAGUUUCUAUCCUUAAAGCCUUCUCCAGAACCUCCGUGAAAGUAUUGAUUUGGACCGCUGCUAAGGCUUCUUGUAAUUCCACAUUUAACCCUUGUAUAAACCUUCGUACUUUCCUUGGUUCCGUAGCAAUCAAUUCGGGAGCGAAUUUAGACAAUUUGGUAAACUGAGUCUCAUACUCAGUUACACUCAUCAGUCCCUGACGGAGUUUAAUGAAUUCGUCCUCUCUCUUCUCCUGGACAAUGGGUGGAAGGUAUUUUUCGUUGAAGUCCCGUACAAAGUUUAGCCAAGUCCAGGCAGUUUCUUCUCUCUCCCACUUGGCCCUCACUACAUUCCACCAAGCCCUAGCUGGCCCUUCAAAUUGGAAUACGGCAAAUUGGACUUGUCUCUCCUCAGUGUAGUUUAGGGCAGCAAAGAUAUUUACCAUGGCCUCCAGCCAUUUCUCAGCCUCAUACGGGUCUGGUCCUCCUAAGAAUUUGGGUGGAGAGAACUUCUGGAAUCUCUCCAAGGCUCUAUCUUGCCCUGAAUCAGGGUCUCUAGGUUGAUUUACAGAACCUUGACCCUGUUGUUCCACCAACCGAGUCAAAAUAUUAGUCAUCUGUUGGAUGGCAGUGGCCACCUGAUCUCCCCCGGCAGUCUGGGGUUCAGGUUGCUGUUCAACCGCUGCCUCCCUCUCCUCUAUCGGUUCAGGCACCGGUUCCUGUACUUGCUCACCCUCACGGCCUCGCUUAGAACCGCGUUCUCGAUUAGUUUUCUUGGUCCGACUCCUUUUAUCUUCCAUGUUGAGAGUCAACCAACUAUACGCAUAUAAACAAAAUAAGGUACGGCUCGUAUAACACGUUGCAACAGAAUAAAUAGAGGCAAUCGAGCAUGUAAUAAACAAGCACUUUAUACAUAUAACAACCAAGCCAUAUAUACAGCCAACAAGUCACGUAGUCAGAGGCUAUGACAGCCAAGGAACAUAGAACAAAAGAUAUUUACAUCCACCAGGACACGUCUAAAACAAAACCAAAAGAAGACAUGUCGUCCCACUAUGUUCCUAAUUAGCCCACAAAACUCCUAAAACCUCCAUCCUAACAAGUGGUCUGGCUAGACGCCGACCCAACUGACUCCGAGGACGCGCUCGGCUCCUCCUCCAUGUCCUCCUCAGGAUCCUCCUCAGGGCCACCGGGAGCGGCAGGAGCUACAGGGGCUUGGCCCUCCUCGGCCAAGUCCUGCAUCACAUCCUCUACAAGUGCCUCGCACUCAGUCAGGAUGUGGUCGGUCCGGUCUCGUAUGUGUCCAACUAUGUGCAUCAAACGUCCAGUCACCGCAUGAGCCUGAUCACGGUAAGCAUCAGACUGCUGCUGCUCUGCCAGAACUGCGGCCUCCAACUCGCGUAUCCGAGCUCCCUGAUCUAGGAGAGUGGCCUGGAGACGCUCUAUCUCCGCAAAGCACCUACGAUUGGUGCUACCCAAUCGUCUCCGAUCGUCAUCUAUAGCAAGCACUACUCGGUCAGGGUAAGAGUAGGUCUUCCAGCAAUCGCAGCGCCAGAUCUUGCGCGCUGGGGACCACCGCUGCACUGGCCCGCCGGGAACCUCCUGGUAUGUGAUCACGCGACAUAUAGGGCCCGCUAGAUAUGGCUCGACCACGGGAGCGUCAGUAGGUGCGUCAGUAGGCACCUCAGGCACCUCAGACACCUCAGGCACCUCAGUAGGUAUCUCGGUCGGUAUGUCAGUAGGUGCAGGCUGGGACGGUCCAGCACCCCCAGAAGAGUCAGUGUCUGCCAUCACCUAAGUUUGCAAAUAACAUUGCAAAGGUAAGUACACAUCAAGCACAAAACAAGGCUAAGGCUAAACGCGAUAAUAAAACCCUAGCCUAUCAAGUCAAGCACUCAAUCUAUCCAGAUCAAUUCAAGCCUAAGCUCUGAUACCACCUGUGACGACCCCACCUCUCCCUAAGGCGUACCAAAGGGUUCGGCGGACCGUCUGCCCAGCUCUCGCCAGGACUCACUCACUAUCUCAAUCGAAUCAUAUAUACACAACCAUGCACCAUAAAUAAUAUUCACGAUUCAAACUUAUAAUUUACAUUGAUAGGAAUCAGGUACAAAGUCUUAAUACACCAACUAGUACAAAACGUAUACGAUCCUAGUACAACAUGUUUCGUUCGAGGAAAAACGCGAGUACAAGACCAAAAGUCAAAAGUCAAAACAAAAGGCUACACUAGUCUUUUACAAGUCUCUCGCGUCACCCGUACCCCUGUAAGGAAAACAAACUAAUGGGGUGAGCCAAAGCUCAGUGAAGUUCCCAAAUAUCAAAUUGGUCAGCAACCAAGUUAUAGCAAAAUAAAAGUGAAAUGGCGAGCAAACAAGUCAAAUAAAGGAAAUAGUACUUCAGCUAGUCAAGUAGUAUUAGAUGCACAUUCACAUAUAAGGAUACGGUAUUCAUGUUACGGCUCCAUUCCAGCUUGGUCAAGUGGUAGUUGACACUCCGUCAACUUUCAAGUAAUUUCAAGUCCAAAUAAACUCCACUACACGCCAAUUUCCGUCCACCGAUCAACCCCCUAUUCCGGGCCCGCACGCCAUAUAAACAUGGGUGGUAAUACUCGAGUAUACCGUUAGUCGAGGAGAUAACACUCCACUCGACAUUACAAGUGACCCAGGGUUUGUUAUCUAAUCGACCAGGCCCUUGCCGGCUGUGACGCCCCCACUUCUCCCUAAGGCGAACCAAAGGGUAUCCGCGGGACGCCUGCCCAACUCUCGCCGGGACUCACUACAAUCGAUCAUUCAAAAGCUCGAAAUACUUUAAGUAACCUCAAUACAUAAUUAAAGUACUUCGAAUAUCUCACACUUACAAUUAUGCAGCUGUCAAGCUUAAAUACAACCCAAUGGAAAAGGGGUACUAUAGCCAUCCGUUAUAAUAUAACUUAAAGUCUUCAAAAGAAAACAAUCUAGUACUACUCACGAGCACCCUUGGUCUCGAACCCUGUAAAAGAAAUCCACAACGUGGUAUGAGCUACACAGCCCAGUGAGGUUCCAAGACACUCUAACAGUUCAAAUAAAUCAAAUAAGUUGGGCAUAUCAUACGCAUGGUUCAAGGUUACACAAUGGCAUGUUAUCAUGAGGCAAUAAUCAUUGUACAGGUAAUUUGAGCAUAUCAUAGGUAUGGCACGUUUUCAUAAAACGGUUAUCAUUAUGUAAAAUAAACACACAUUGAAGGAUACGGAGUUCCAGUGGAACUCUGUCGGUCAUCUGCACCUUAUGACUUCCGGAUCCCCUCGGUUUGACUGGCCAUCACCUUAUCCCUCCAGUGGUAAUACUCGAGUAUACCGAAACGGUUGUCCAGGGUUCCAACCUACCCGACCGAGCCCAGUCCUGGCUCGAGUAGGUCAGUAACCGAGGCAGGGCCCAAGUUCAGCUUAGAGCUUACAACAUGCACAAGUAAUCAAGUAAUUCGGCAAAAGGUAAAAUUCAUCAUUUGAGUAGGUCGAGUGAGGUAAAGUACACACUCGCCUAACAAUGAUGGACAACUUCAUAUAACAUGCGAUUCAUGAUAAUCAAGUGAUCAAGUAAGUUGGUGAUCACGUAAGCAGAUAAUCAAGUAAGCAAGUAGCCGAAUGGAUUAGAAAACGGUAAGUAAACACGGUAAACGGUAAACGGUGGUAAUUACGGUUAAUUGGCAGACAUAUGUCAUUUUAAUAGGCCACCAUUGGCCGAUUUUCACUUUUUCCACAUAAGAGUCGAGGAGAUUCACUCCAACCGACUUAUGCUGUCAUAGCAUAAUUAAUCAUUUAAACACAUCAUGUAGAUAUGCUCUCCAAACAUUUCAUAUCUAGUAUUUCAAGUAAUCACAUAAAUAUGCUCUUUAAGCAUUUCAUAUCGAAUAGUUCAAAUAUACAUAUUUCAGGUAUUUCAUGUCGAGUAAUUCAAGUAUACCUUAUUCAGAUAUGCAUGAGUGUGGUAAAUACUUAACAUAUAGCACUUAACACUUAAUAAUCAUGGGUUAUGCAUGUCAUAGACUUAUUCCAAUUACGUAUUCCUAUAUGGAACACUCACCUAUAGCAACAAGAGAGUAAUACUCAAACAAGUGUCUAGGCGUCCACUUCGAGUUCUUCUUGAAGGUCCCCUUGAGCGCCUGAGCAAAUAACCAUUAACUAUUAUACACUAUCACUUAGAACUCCUACUUAUCAAAGAAGGUUGUACAAUCUAAAGGGAAUUCAUGAAUUGGGCCUUAAUUAUUAAUAAUCGAGGCUCAAGAGUAAAGUUUUAAAGUCUAAAGAAAGAGACUAACAUUUUUCAUGAAAUCGAGUUCAAAAUGUUCAAUCGGUAUCGAGAAAAGAAGGCAAGUUUCCAAAAUCUCAUUUCUAAGAAAUUGUCAAAUUUUAGCUUUGGGUGUCAAUUCUAGAAAAAUCGUAUCUUGCACUACGUAGGUCCAAAAUUGGAAAGCUUGAUACCAUUGGAAACUACAUUCCGAGUACUACAAGUUUCUAGAAGACACUUUUCCAUGAUUCGAAAUGGAAGGUAUUCAAAAGUUGGAUCAAAGUUACUGCUGUAGAAUACUAAGACAGUUUCAAGGUUGGUUUUUGGCUAAUUUUGGAAAUUCAGUAAAAUUCACUUGUUUUGAACUAACCUUUGAAAUUUGGAAAUCAAAUAGUGUUGCAAUCCAAGAGUAUAACAAAACAAGCGGAUUGAGAAACGGAGUUUCGAGCACCAAGAUAUAGUAGCCCCAAGUUGAGGAAGAUUCAAGACUGAAGAAGAAUUUCCAGUUUUGAACCUCCAACACUAGAAAUUUAAUUGGGUAUCGAAACGAACUUGGAUUGGUACCAAAAUUGGCAGUAUUUUACUCCCAUAUGAAAGGUACCACUCUAUCAAAUUUCAGGGAAAAAUACUUUCGGUAAGAUAGUUAAUUAGUCAACCAAAGUUCAGGAAAAUUAUAAGGCAAUCUGCCUUGAGACUUUCAUUACCCAAUUCAAAACGUCUAAUCAAGCAAACUAUACAAUCAUGGUUCAUUUGUGAAAUAAAGGCCUAAGAAACAUCCAUAAUGCCUUUGGUAAGUGUUUAGUAUCAAGAACAUCAAUUAACAAGUUCACUCCAAUAUCUUGUUCCAAACCAGUCCAACAUUAGGGUUUUUCCAAAACAGAGCAGUCCACUUGUUUCAGUCACAACUCAGUCAAUUUAACUCGAAAUAGAGCAUGGCUUACGCCGUUGGAAAAUACGUUCAUAGGGGUAAAAUAUCACAGAAGAAAUCAUUUCCAAAUUCGGCACCAAUCUGGUUCAAAAUCGGGCAUCAAGUUGCUGCCUGAACACUUCAUUCCAGAUGAACAGAGCAACAGGACAGCGAACUUAAAACAUUUGGUUCGGCUUGCUCACAAAGAAUCAGAACGUGCAUUAUAUACCAAAUUAAAGCCAGGAAUGUCUAGUUUCCAACGCCACCAACGGCACAUGAUUUCGACAUCCGAGGACAGAGUUAUAGCCAAAAUACUACCACUGGUCAGAAUCAUACGCGAACAGUUUUCCAGAUUGCUAGUUUCUCAAGAAAAAUUCAUUUGCUCAAUCAAACCUCAAUAUUUUCCAAUGAAAUUUUUCACACAUCUAAUACAUCCUAUAAACAUCUAAUUCAAGCCAUUAAACCAUUAAAAAUUGGCCUGGAAAUGGCCGAACAUGGCAGGGGCAAAAUCGGAAGUUUUUGCUUCUUACACCCAAUGAAGUUUCUACUAAUUACCCACCACUAAUGCAUCAUUAUAACCACUAAACCAACAAUAUAAUCACCAUCAAUCAUCACAUCAGCAACAAUAACCCAAGUGUGGGAAUUCCAAGAGCCCACUAUCACAUUUUUACACCAUACACAAGCUAACCAAAUGCAUGCAUGAACUUAACAAGGUAAGAUAGCUUCCAAACUUCAAGUUUUCAAGAGUGGAUCAUCACUUACUUUGGGUUGAUGUUCAGCAGAAUUUUCGGCCCUCUAUUACCCCAGAAAAACCGUGAUUUCCAGCCCUUGUUUGCAGCUCAAAAUGAUCCUCAAGUGUCAAGCUAGGUGUGGUGCAAGUUUGGUUAAUUUUGGAGAUGAUUUGGAGUGGUUUUGAAUGAGAUUAGUGAGCAGAAAUUUUGUUGCAAAUGAGUUAGAGAGAGGAGGGAGCUGGCCGGCUGUUUGAAGCUCAAGAGAGAGAGAGAGUGAUCAGAUUUUAGCUUCCAAGAGAAGACAUUAACUUGUGGCCUCAAGUCACCCAUUAGUCAACUCACAUUAGGGUGCGUUUGGCGCGAUUAGGGCUCGAUUUUCUCGCGCGUUUGGUUCACUAGUGCACUAAACCUCCAAUGUAUUUAUAUUCAUGUAGAUAAUAUUCACUCUUAAUUGUCCCGAAAUAAAGGUCUAAAGUCCCUCAAAUAAAGUCGCGCGUGUGAAAACGCGUACCGUCAAUUUUUUACGCUAUAACGCGAAACCUCCGGGAAAUUCUUAUAACGAUAGUACUAAUAACUAUCACUUGAGUAUUUAAACAUUAAAAUACCGAAUUUAGGUCCAUUAUACAUGUCUCCAAUAUUCCAAACUUAUUGUACUCUCAAGCGGAUAAAAUCUUCAAGCACUAUUCACUGUUUUUACUAAACGCGCUCCAGGAAAUUAAUUCAUGAAAUGAGUUACUUUAAAAAUAUAACGAAGUUAUAUUACCAUGUAUUUAGGUCUAAUAAGACUAGAAAAUAUUCCUCGAGGCAAAUAUCCAAUUAAAUAAUUUAUUAAGCCACAAAUUAGGCUAAAAAAAAUAAUAGUUUUUACGAGUCCUCACAGGCUCGACUUGAUUAACUAGCCACAGGGUUUCUGGAAUUCCAGGCAAGAUACAAUUCAAGUACAUGUACAACAAGUCAAGUAUGAUCAAUAGCAAGAACAGGUCAUAUUAGGGCAAGUGCGAUAAAGUACACCCUUGCCCUUUCAUUCAUUGUCAUGUAAUCACGCAAGUCAAGUAGGGAGUACACAUAUCAAUUAAAAUCGGAUAUUUGGAAGCACUCACCACAAUAGUGCUUCUAGUUUUCGCGUCGAGGUGGUACUCCGGGUUGGGAGUCCAAAUCUGCGAUAAAACUUUACUUGAGAACUUUGAAAUCAACCAAGGUUCGAAACUUAAGCGUUUCGUUCAAUAAGAAUCAAGAAAUUGAAAUUCACUGGAGAAGAGUCGUGAAAUAGUUGCUCGCUCUUUAAACUGAAAAAUUUGAUAAUAUUUUUGCUUGAAGAUGACUCUUGAGUCAAAAGUGCAAGUAAAACGGUUUCGUAGUGAUUCAUAUCGUUUUCCUAAGGGUACAAGUUCGGCCAAGUCCUAACAUAUAACCCUCGAUAAACAAGUGGCAAAGGUCCUCGAUAGUUCAAGUGAUAAUCACUUAACCUUCACUCAAGUCGCAAAGAUAGUUCUCUAGACCUCGAGUAAAAAUUUGGGCAGCAUGCCCUUUGUGUUUACCUAAUUUCCAGCCAUUUAGGCUUCAAUAUUUUCCUUCAACAACAUCCCAACAUCAUACAAAUAAGCAAUUUAUGUCAAGAGCCGUUCCAUAGGCUCACAAUACCAUAACAACAAGAAUCGCAUCAAGUACAAGUGCAGAAACGCAAUUUAGUUCAAGACAGAUUUGACGUACAAAUGCGGUAAUACCAUACCUGAGGCUACGCUUAUCGGAUUAAAACAAAACCUAUGCCGUUUCGAAGCUAAGACACAGAGCUACAACAUUCAUGAAGGUCACUUAGUCCAUUUCCUAAUGUAACUUAGUCAAAAUCUCAGAUUACUAAACCAGAAACCAAUUCACCGGCAGUUUAAACGCAUUAUGCUGUAACGGACCUAACUCAGUGUACACAAGUCCGAAUCAGGUUUUCUUUGAGGCAUUUUAAAGCUACUUCAGAACACUACAACUUUUAUGUUUUGGCCCAGAGCUAAAUCAGAAUGGAUCCUGGUCAAAAAUCGUGAUAAACUGGACUGAACUGAAGAAACGGACUGCUGGGAAAUUCUUAAAACAGUAGGGGUAUUUUGGACUUUUCACAUCCUACGUUGCUCCGAUUGAGCUGAAAUUUUACAGGAACUUAUAAAACACCAUUCUAUACAACUUUCCUUCUUUGACCAAAGGCCAAUUCGGCCUCUAACAUAUAGGUACAAUUUCGGACAGAAUGCUUGGGAAAUUUUCCAGAAAUCUGGAAUUUUUAGCUCUAAGUGUAAUUUCCUCAAAUUUCUGGUUCUAAUCACCACUAAACAACCUUAUAUAACUUUAAUUGCAACAUUCAUGCAUCAUACUUCAACUUGAGCAGAAAUUCAGAAACCCUAGUUCAUCAAAUAAAUUGGGGAAAAACUCCUACACAUGCUAGCAUCCAUGAAUCUACCACCAAUCAAGCUACCAAGCUUACUUUAACCAUGAUUGAAAGAGAAAGUUAGAGAGAUAUCAUCCUCUUACCUUGAUUAGAA
rnacentral:lncRNA from 1 species